AGGAUGAACGCUGGCGGCGUGCCUAACACAUGCAAGUCGAACGUUAGGAUUUAGCAAUAAAUCCGAAAGUGGCGAACGGGUGAGUAACACGUAGGUAACCUGCCGCGCAGAGGGGGAUAACGACUGGAAACGGUCGCUAAUACCGCAUGGUACCAAGUGCAAUGGGAUGCACUUGGUUAAAACUUUGGUGCUGCGCGAGGGGCCUGCGUCCGAUUAGUUAGUUGGUGAGGUAACAGCUCACCAAGACGAUGAUCGGUAGCUGGUCUGAGAGGAUGAUCAGUCACACGGGAACUGAGACACGGUCCCGACUCCGUACGGGGGGCAGCAGUGAGGAAUAUUGCACAAUAGGACGAAAGUCUGAUGCAGCAACGCCGCGUGGAGGAUGAAGGCCCGUUAGGUACGUAACUUCCGUUUUUACAGGGUAAGGAGAGGACGUACGUAGAAGAAUAAGUACACGGACUAACGUACGCG
rnacentral:rRNA from 1 species